UCGGCUUACUUUUUCUCAAAAAAGGUGAAUAAAUUAUCUUUUGUUAUUACAGAGGUACUUAUUAAUGCUAAUAAAAGAGAGAAAAUAACACUACAAGUACUUUAUACGGAGUAGUUGGUUAAUUAGUACUCAUAGCAAAAUUUUAAAUCAAAAUUAGAAAAUCCAUUAUGGUAAUUGUUGUUGGUCAUAUACGACACAAUAAGAUUUAUGACGAUAUUGUAACUUUUUUUUUCCUAACUGCUCCAUUUCAUUUUCUGUUCCUGUCAUAUUCAUCUUCUCCCAAAAGAAAAAAAAUUUGAGUAAAUUUUUGUUUUUUUUUUUUUGACGGAGAAUAAAAAAUAAUCUUGAGAACAUAGAUUAAAAAAACACAAGUAGAAUACUGUAAAAAAAAUCUGUCAAAAAAAAAAAAAGAAAGCACUGUUUUUAUCUUUCUUCCCAACCGUUACUUCUUCACACCAAAGCCGACCCCAUCGGCAACGCCCUUUUCCGAUCACUCAAUUCUCAACUUCUCUGUUUUUCAUGUCGGAUGAGGAUACGCAACACUUUCUAAGCAUGCUUGAUGCUGCUGCUGAACGAGCUUUUGAAGCAUAUGCAGAUGUGUGUUGUCUUUCCUUUGGCUUUCAGUGUUUAAUUCAUUGAAAUUAUUUGCUGAACUUGUAAAACCAUCAGUUUGUUUAUUCUAAUUUGGCAAGGUAGUUUAUGAUGUUCA